AUCUCUCUCAGCCUUGGCGGUGCUGGUGGCCGCGGUCACGGUGAAUCAGCUCAUCAUGCAAAUGGAUUAAAUUCAAGACCGUCGAUUCUCAAUAGGGAUGGUACAAUGGGUUCCGUGGCCAACACUGGUUUGUUCUUUUCGUAAACACCUUGAUGUAGCCUAUCUUUUCUGCCUUUGAACAGAGAGAAACUAUAAAAUUACUGACAUCCCUAUUGAGAAUCUAUGAUAUUUGUCAUUACAUAGAAAUACUGUUUUAUUCUGUGAUUCUGAUUGUGCGCUACUGGUGUUUUUCAUGCUUAUGCAGCCUCUUUACUCACCAGCACGAAUGAUGGUAGAUCCGAAAAGGCAAGUCAUCCAAGAACUGAAAGCCCUUUUUCUUCGUUCCCUCGACAAAAACGUUCUGUGAGACAGCGUUUGUACCUUUCCAUUGAUACGGACUCUGACUAGACAAGUUGAUAUCUUUUUCCAAUAUUUCGGGACAGAAGCCAUUUCCCGGUGGGCAGUAAGAAGUCCCCAAGGUGGUUGUGAACUCUCACUCUCAGAUGUCCAGAGAAAAGGCUCUCUAUGCUCUCUUCUUUGUGAAUUGAAGAUCCUCCU
rnacentral:lncRNA from 1 species